AUUCAAAUAGUUUAUUAGAAUAAUAACUUGUGGUGUUAUAGGUAUAUUUAUUAUUUUGGAUA
rnacentral:tRNA from 1 species